rnacentral:lncRNA from 1 species
GGGGAACAUCAUAGUAUUGUAGGAGGACUCAUUUUGUGAGUUUUGAGUGAAAUCCAAUUGCCAAAACUAUGCAAUACACCAACCACUCCAUUUCAGAACUAGCUUCGUACGAACCUUAUAUCAGAUUCAAUCCAGAACUCGGGGAAAAUCAUAAUUUAUUGUUGGAGGGGUCAUUUGAUGGAUUUUGAGAGAAAUCCAAUCUCCAGAACUACAC